GCCUUAACUUGAUGAAAUCAAAAUGUACCACCCUCACAUGUUACCAUCACCAGCCAUUUGAAGUUCUACUGACCUUGACCUUUGGUGCUUCAGGCCCAAUACCCCCACUGCCAGUGCUCUCUCUCAUCUCUAAUUUGCAUUUUUGCGUAAUGCCCUUCAUGUGUAAAACCGCAUGACAUGACAUGACAUUGAAAAGUAAGUGAAUCCUUUGCACAAUAAAAUCAUUUUUUCUUGUAUAUAUAUAUACUUUCUUUUUUCUUUCCUAUUUUUUGUCAUCCAAAUCCGAAUUGAUGGGUCUCCCACAAAUUGGUUGACGUACCGGAUGCUAAAAUUUCUAUGCAUGAAAAGACAUGCAUGGAAAAUUUGAGACCCCCUCUCUCAUGCAUAAAUUAGUAAAGCCAUGGCCCCUACUCUUCCCAACUCAUUUUAUUCUUUCAAUAGUAAUCUUUCAGGAUGGAGUAGUUCUAUUCAACUCUACAGCGUACUCAAUUGUUUUAAAAAGGGUACAUGUCCUACAUGCAUAGGGACAUGGUACAUAGAAAAAAAAAAUCACUCAAGUCAUUUCGUAUCUGAAAGCUAAAUGAAAUAAAUAAAACAAAAAUAGAAAAGGAGGGAUGAGUGCAAAAGAGGGGAGUAAUGAACCCCAAGACCGGAACAAAGGCACAGAAACGGAGGGGGAGGGGCAGGGGGGUAUGGGGUUAGAUGCUUCUAGGGAUGUGUGCCGGUGAGCUCACACAGACUCAAGAGUUAAACGUGGGUGACGCGGUGGCUUGUGGUUUGGGGGUCCCACUUCUGCCCACAUCACACUUUUAUAUGGAGGAAUGGGGGCAGUCAUGGGUCCCACCUUCCAUCUCUCUUCUGCAGCUUUUUGUUUUUCUCUUUUUCUUUGAACUCUGGAACAAACCAUGGUAAGCCACGUGUGUAGAGAGAGAGAGAGAGGGGGGAAGGUGAGAGGGAACUAUUGGGUGGAUCCAAAAGCCACUACUGUUGUCUUCUCCUUUUUUCCUCUCCUGACGUUGAUUUCUUUGACGUGAUUGGCGUGAGGUUGAGAGUCUGGGUCCCGCCUCUACCACCAACCAUGUGACCCUCCUGGGCCCCUUCUUCCCCACGCGCCUUUCACUUCCCACUCCGCACCCCCUCCCGCUGAUAAGACCUCGUUCUUAUCUUCUGAUUCUUCCCCGACUCUUCGGAUUAAUAAGCGGGGGGUUGUUUUCUUCCCUUGGUUUCAAAUCGUUGAGGCUGGAAGGUGGGACCACGCGCUGUGCACUAUCGUGGGUGUGGAGUUCCCUGGUUGCGAAAGCCUCGGUUCGCCGUUCCUUUGAUUGGGCCCUUUUUGUCCUGGCUCUUUGGACGUUGGGGCCCAUGGAGGCCCACUGGGAAAGCGCCACUUUCGUGGGGCCCAAUCCCCUCACUCAGCUGAGUUUAGGGGUGCCCAGGAUUGGACCCAGCCCUUGGAAUCCUCGGGUCCCUGUCCUUGAAACCACCACCACCACAUGCAGCCAAUAUACCCUCUCACCUUUUCCCCCUUCUUUCCUUUCAUUUAUCCUUUUCUUUUAAAUAAAAAAAAAAUUAUUAUUUUAACAAUUUUGCUCUCCUCUCGACUUGGGUUUCAUAAAUCAUAUCUCAAAUCAAAACCAUUUAAGUUAAUUCUAAGUAAUUUACAUUUAACUUUUAGAAAAGCUUACCAAGGAGGAAAACUCAAAAGAGAAUCCCAAGGCAAGCAUUAAGGAAAAGCCUAGGACGCUUUUCCUUGUGAGGAAACACCUCCAUCUCCCCCUCCAAACAACGGUCCUCCUCAGUCACCUAAAUUGGUCCAUGAAGACAUUUAUCUUCUACCUUCAACAACUACAAUGAUUCAUGUCAAGCUCCCGAUAUAUAAUUAUUUCGCUUGUAGAUGUGUAUCAUAAUAUUUUUGGCUUUAGCCUGGUAUAGAAGAGAAUAAAAUGAAUAUAUAGGAGAUUAAAAAUGAUUCACCGACAUGUUUGAGGAUGGUGCACAUGGCGAGUUUGGUGCGAGGGAGCAUCAACAACAAAAGAGAGACGUAUCCCACACAUUUUACAAUGUUCGGCUCCUACUAAAACCGCCGCUUCUUAUGACAAUCAACAUCAAGGGUUUGGAUCCACCCAACUCGCACUUGUUCUUCACUCCCAAAAAAAAAAAAAAAAAUGAAACCAUUUCUUGUAAUAGAAACCGUGACCCAAAUCACUACUCAAUCUUCGAUGUUUUGUGGUGUCUUGUAUGAUUUUGUUGAAGAUAUCAUCAUUGUCUAUGAUGGUCUCGUCUUCCCAAGCGGAUAAAGCGAGAUCCAAAACCUAGUUUCAGAAUCUUUGCGUCCCGAAAACCUAAAUGCUCACAUGACUGUUGUUGAUUAUACAAAUG
rnacentral:lncRNA from 1 species